GACGAACGCUGGCGGCGUGCUUAACACAUGCAAGUCGAACGGAAAGGCCCUGCUUUUGUGGGGUGCUCGAGUGGCGAACGGGUGAGUAACACGUGAGUAGCCUGCCCUUGACUUUGGGAUAACUUCAGGAAACUGGGGCUAAUACCGGAUAGGAGCUCCUGCUGCAUGGUGGGGGUUGGAAAGUUUCGGCGGUUGGGGAUGGACUCGCGGCUUAUCAGCUUGUUGGUGGGGUAGUGGCUUACCAAGGCUUUGACGGGUAGCCGGCCUGAGAGGGUGACCGGCCACAUAGGGACAGAGAUACGGCCCAGACGCCUACGGGAGGCAGCAGUGGGGAAUAUUGCACAAUGGGCGGAAGCCUGAGGCAGCAACGCCGCGUGCGGGAUGACGGCCUUCGGGUUGUAAACCGCUUUCGCCUGUGACGAAGCGUGAGUGACGGUAAUGGGUAGAGAAGCACCGGCUAACUACGUG
rnacentral:rRNA from 1 species